CUACGGGACGCUCCAGUGAGGAAUAUUGCACAAUGGGGGGAACCCUGAUGCAGCAACGCCGCGUGGAGGAUGACGCAUUUCGGUGUGUAAACUCCUUUUUUAUGUCAAGAAAAUGACGGUAGCAUAUGAAUAAGCACCGGCUAACUCCGUGCCAGCAGCCGCGGUAAUACGGGAGGGUGCAAGCGUUACUCGGAAUCACUGGGCGUAAAGGACGCGUAGGCGGGUUGGAAAGUCAGGUGUGAAAUCCUACAGCUUAACUGUAGAACUGCACUUGAAACUUCUAAUCUAGAGUAUGGGAGGGGGAGAUGGAAUUAGUGGUGUAGGGGUAAAAUCCGUAGAUAUCACUAGGAAUACCUAAAGCGAAGGCGAUCUCCUGGAACAUUACUGACGCUAAGGCGUGAAAGCGUGGGGAGCAAACAGGAUUAGAUACCCUCGUAGUC
rnacentral:rRNA from 1 species